AUUUUGCAUUUCGAUCCUCCUUUUGCCUUUCCUCUCUCCUCUACUCCACACGGCGGCGGACCUCCGGCGAACCCCGCCGCGCGAGGCCGGUCCACGGGAAUCGAUGCAGCCAUGCAGGGUUAACGAGCGCACUCUUACCUGCUGCGCCUCGCCUGCUCGUCCGCCGGAGAGGCUUCCAGGCGACGGGGGAGCCUCCGCCUGCUGCGCCGGAGUCCGCGGGGCAGCUGGGGGAUCCGACGGCGGCGACAAAAAAAGGUACAGUGGAGUACAGGUGCAACCUAGGAUUCAGAAUAUCCAUUCGAAAUUGGUGUUGCCUGUGAUAAUCAUGGUUGGUUGAUUAGCAUUCUAGAGAAUUGAAAUCGAGAAGGAGCUUUUUUAUCCAAUAAUUAGAAGAAAUUAUGAGUGUGUUUAGAAUUAAACACGGAAUCACCCCCCUUACCGCUACAAUAUCAAGUGCAUCUCUUCUAUUGAACUGAUUUACCUUUUUGAAAUUCAGGUUACUUGAUUGGAUCUAGGAGCUUUUUUUUUUUGUUUGACAUGGUGAACAAGGUUCAUGCAGAGAUAGAACACACAGGCGAGGGCUGAAAUGGUCCAUCGAUCGAAUAAUGGUAUCACAACAUGCAUUUGGCCAAAAUGACACCAUGGUGAUCAGCAACAAAGGGAGCAACUGAUAAACUGAACCCUUACAUCCAUCCAUACAGCCUGCAUACUACUACACCUUUGGAAAGGAGGAGGAUCACAAUGUUGAUAAUGAUGAUGAUGUACAAAAGAUGGCAGUCAAAAUCAACUCAAGUAUCACUGCUCCAAGGCAAGCUUCUUGUGCCGGUCGAGAUCGUUGAGGUAACUUGAGCGAGUAUAAUCCUCUGAAUCGCCGGAGUCGAACAUGAGGGGUUUCAUGAGUUUUGGUCUUUGCAUUUGCAUCAUUUCGAGUGAUUCCCUAUCCCCCUUCAAGAAACGGACCACCUACAGGCAUCAAACCAACAGGCCGCGAGCUUGAGCUGUGGUGAAUGCACAUGGAUGCCACUGCUAGGAUGUGAGCCAUUUCUUCUGGAUCAUAUCCAACAUCAAGAGAAGGAUCCACUAGUUCCUUCAUGUUGUUCGAGUCGAGCAAUGGUUUUGCCUAUGCACAUGACAAACAACAGCUUGUGAAUUCAAGGGCUUCAGAUGUAUGUGAUUAUACCAGUUCAUGUUAUCCAUUCAAGUAUUGUAGAAUUAACUUUUGAUCAUCACUUGCCUCUCUCAAUAUGACCAGACAAUGAUAUAAAAUGAGCUGAUUUGAAUUUUUGUAUAAUGGAGCAUAUUAGAGAUUUGCUUUUA